rnacentral:rRNA from 1 species
GACGAACGCUGGCGGCGUGCUUAACACAUGCAAGUCGAACGGAAAGGCCCUGCUUUUGCGGGGUGCUCGAGUGGCGAACGGGUGAGUAACACGUGAGUAACCUGCCCUUGACUUUGGGAUAACUUCAGGAAACUGGGGCUAAUACCGGAUAGGAGCUCCUGCGGCAUGGUGGGGGUUGGAAAGUUUCGGCGGUUGGGGAUGGACUCGCGGCUUAUCAGCUUGUUGGUGGGGUAGUGGCUUACCAAGGCUUUGACGGGUAGCCGGCCUGAGAGGGUGACCGGCCACAUUGGGACUGAGAUACGGCCCAGACUCCUACGGGAGGCAGCAGUGGGGAAUAUUGCACAAUGGGCGGAAGCCUGAUGCAGCAACGCCGCGUGCGGGAUGACGGCCUUCGGGUUGUAAACCGCUUUCGCCUGUGACGAAGCGUGAGUGACGGUAAUGGGUAAAGAAGCACCGGCUAACUACGUG